ensembl:snRNA U1 U1 spliceosomal RNA
GGCAGGGGAGAUACUAUGAUUAUGAAGGUGGUUUUCCCAGGGCCAUGUGCUGACCCCUGAAAUUUCCAGAUGUGCUGACCCCUGAAAUUUCCCCAAAUGUGGGAAAUUUGACUGCAUAAUUUGUGGUAGUGGGGGAAUGUGUUCUCUCCAC